rnacentral:misc_RNA from 1 species
ACUCAAAAAAUCCAACGUGUCUUAAACAUCCGUUUUAAGACAUAAACCCCCUUUUUUUUAAAAGCGAACUAAAACGAAGGAUUUAUUUCUCUUCGUUUCUUUUUUUUUUCUUUUCUAUUUUACCACAAACCCAAUUGAAUUUUUUAGACUGAAACUUUUUUUUUCUUCUGGAAACAGAGAAAAAGUAAAAAAACAAAAUGCUAUACAACUCUUAACAACGGAUAUCUUGGUUCU